rnacentral:rRNA from 1 species
GUGGGGAAUCUUCCGCAAUGGACGAAAGUCUGACGGAGCAACGCCGCGUGAGUGAAGAAGGUUUUCGGAUCGUAAAGCUCUUUCGUUAGGGACGAACGUGCUCUUUGUGAAUAAUGAGGAGUAAUGACGGUACCUAAAUAAGAAGCCACGGCUAACUACGUGCCAGCAGCCGCGGUAAUACGUAGGUGGCAAGCGUUGUCCGGAAUUAUUGGGCGUAAAGCGCGCGCAGGCGGGAUAUCAAGUCUGUCUUAAAAGUGCGAGGCUCAACCUCGUGAGGGGACAGAAACUGGUAUUCUUGAGUGUCGGAGAGGAAAGUGGAAUUCCAAGUGUAGCGGUGAAAUGCGUAGAGAUUUGGAAGAACACCAGUGGCGAAGGCGACUUUCUGGACGAUGUCUGACGCUGAGGGGCGAAAGCUAGGGGAGCGAACGGGAUUAGAUACCCUUGUAGUCC